rnacentral:lncRNA from 1 species
CUCAGAGACCAUCAGGCCUGGCUCUCCUUCCAGCUGGCGCUGGCUCAUCUCUUCAGAGAGGUUGUGGGUGUCUCCUCCUCCUCACUUCUCCCUCCCAGGGUGCACUGGCUGACUGCUUGAGGCAGCUGAGGACCAGCGGGCCUGGACACUGCGGAACUGGGCCUGGUACUUCUUGCUUUUGAAAACACUCCUGAAGCCUGUACCUCAGGCUCCCACCUCCUGGAAUUCCUCUGCCUGGGGAUUGAUCCAAGCUUUGUGGGACUUGCAGCUUAAACAAUUCAGAGGCUUUUUUAAGAAAGAAGACAAAAUUAGAUCUGAAAAUAUUUAGGAUGACACAAGAAAUCACAACAAAUUGGUGAGGCAGGAGAUUCAAGGCCCUUCCU